UACGUAGGGAGCAAGCGUUGUCCGGAUUUAUUGGGCGUAAAGAGCUCGUAGGCGGUUUAGAAAGUCAGGUGUGAAACCUCCAGGCUCAACCUGGAGACGCCACUCGAUACUUCUAUGACUUGAGUUCGGUAGGGGACCAUGGAAUUCCUGGUGUAGCGGUGAAAUGCACAGAUAUCAGGAGGAACACCGAUGGCGAAGGCAGUGGUCUGGGCCGAUACUGACGCUGAGGAGCGAAAGCGUGGGGAGCGAACAGG
rnacentral:rRNA from 1 species